CCGUCGUAUUGCUGCCGACGUUAUGUUUUGUAGGGGCGUAUGCAACCCUAGGUCUGGAGGAACGGAGAGACCCAGUUGGCUGCAACAAGUUUGAAGACGACUGCAAUUUUCCAACAGGUUGUUACUGCCCGUGGAGAGGAGGACGAUAUGCAGUGGCUCCUUACAUGUAUCACUAUAAUCCACGUCUGCGCCGGUGUGAUCAAGGAGGGCAGCUCGGAAAUUGCAAUUCAUUUAUUAGCCCGGAAAUGUGCGUGCAAACAUGUAUUGUGGGAAGGCGAGGCUAGUCGUCUCUGAUAUUACAAUUAAAACAACAAUGACUGUUCAUAAGGUAUGUAAUAACCGAAUUAUAACUGAGUAGAGCCACUAACAGCAUAAUCCCACGGCUGCUACUCGGCGGAAUGCAUGUGACGACCGGCCUUUCGCCCACCUCCUGAACAAGCCGUUCGACGAAAUCAAGUUGUGAAGUGUUGAAUAUUUAUUA